rnacentral:tRNA from 2 species
GGGCACGUGGCGAAAUUGGUAAACACGCACGCUUCAGAAGCGUGUGCCGCAAGGCUUGGGAGUUCGAGUCUCCCCGUGCCCA